CAGAGAGGAACUGCAGCCACUGCAGAUCUCCUGCCAUUAUUCACUGCAGAGACUGCAUGCCAGAGGAGUGGCUACAUAUACACACCAAACUCACACUUCAUAACAGGGAGUCCUGCAUUGAGGGAGUUUACAAGCCCAUUGAGCCAACGCUGUGCUGUGCAAAAGAAGAUGGCAGAUAUACACUGGUCAAGCAAGUACGUCUAUUGCCUACAGUGAGACCUGUCCAGUUAUGCACAUGUGACCCUACAAACAUCACAGAAUCAGCUGGCAGAGCAGUAAUUUUGGUUUGCAUAAAUGGUAUGAAAUAUCUUUAUAUAUUUAUUUUUUUUGUACAGCUGCGUGUCACAAAAUAAGCAUACAUUUAAUUAACUAUACUGUUUUUUGUUUUUAGGAUGAUAUGACUUUCAUUUGCCAAACCUGCUGUGCAAAGUACUUCUGGCACAGUGGACACCAGAUAAAAGCGACCUCAUAAGCAGUGGGUAUUGGCCAGCAUCUGUGAAUGCUGAGACCUUGUUUUCGGUGGAUGUCUUCAAUUCAUUUGAAGAAAUGAAAACUGUUGCACCCAGUCUGUCAAGACAAGGCUUUUUGCAGAUGUUGGAGAGAAGGACUCGUCACUUUGGAAGGGUAAGAUCAGUGUGGAUCAAAGUAGGGAUAGAAGAAUUUAAGCUAUUUUAGCUUUUGAAUU
rnacentral:lncRNA from 1 species